GUGUGUCUAAUGGAGCUGGAGCAGCAGAAGCACACGUCAGUUCGGAUAUGUGUUUCGCCGGGUCCCGGGGUCGAUCCGAAAUGACAUAACUCCUGCGCCAAAAGCUCUAUGUGUUCAGACGAAAUUUAA
ensembl:ncRNA F43D9.12 ncRNA